rnacentral:tRNA from 1 species
CAGAGAAUAGUUUAAUGUGAGAAUAUUAGUUUUGGGGACUAAAGAUGGGAGGGCUCUCUUCUCUGA